ACGCCUUAUACAUGCAAGUCGAACGAAGUAGCAAUACUUAGUGGCAGACGGGUGAGUAACAUGUGGGUAUCUUCCCUUUGGUGAGGAAUAACACGAGGAAACUUGUGCUAAUACCUCAUAAGUCUUUACGGAGAAAGCUUUAUGCGCCAAUGGAUGAGCCCGCACUUGAUUAGUUUGUUGGUGGGGUAAUGGCUUACCAAGACUUUGAUCAAUAGCUGAUCUGAGAGGAUGAUCAGCCACAUUGGGACUGAGACACGGCCCAAACUCCUACGGGAGGCAGCAGUAGGGAAUAUUGCACAAUGGAGGAAACUCUGAUGCAGCGAUGCCGCGUGAGUGAAGAAGGCCUUUGGGUUGUAAAGCUCUUUCGUCGGGGAACAAAAUGAGGGUACCCGAAUAAGAAGGUCCGGCUAACUUCGUGCCAGCAGCCGCGGUAAUACGAAGGGACCUAGCGUAGUUCGGAAUUACUGGGCUUAAAGAGUUCGUAGGUGGUUAAAAAAGUUGGUUGUGAAAUCCCAGAGCUUAACUCUGGAACUGCAAUCAAAACUUUUUAGCUAGAGUUUGAUAGAGGAAAGCAGAAUUUCUAGUGUAGAGGUGAAAUUCGUAGAUAUUAGAAAGAAUACCAAUUGCGAAGGCAGCUUUCUGGAUCAUUACUGACGCUGAGGAACGAAAGCAUGGGUAGCGAAGAGGAUUAGAUACCCUCGUAGUCCAUGCCGUAAACGAUGUGUGUUAGACGUUGGAAAUUUAUUUUCAGUGUCGCAGCGAAAGCAUUAAACACACCGCCUGGGGAGUACGACC
rnacentral:rRNA from 1 species